rnacentral:lncRNA from 1 species
AUCCAGGUCAAAGCAGGAUCUGGAUCUYGCCCUGGCAGACCGCAAAAAGGGAGAGCAACCGCAUCGUGUUGAUUCUCGAACAGACAGACAGCAAUGCACAGAAGUGUCUCGCACCUGGAAUUACGGGUGGAUUUGGGAACGGCAAAGUGCGAACAUGGAUUGUGUAGAUGCUCCUCACAAUUAGCUGAACUGCUGUGGUUACACGUGACAGGCCGCAGUUGGGUAAUUGCAGAGCCAUCAACCCCAAGCGGGUGAACGGCCAGGCAGGGUUCACGGUUCUGCUAAAUACAAUUUAUUUAAUCCUGCCAUGCAAUGAGAUGCACGGUUGCUAGGUGACAGGAGCCGAGGGCCKGCACAGAAAACCUGGGAACGGCUACGCAAGGUCAGCCCGGGUCCAGCUCCUCAGCGUCUCGUCUCCCAGAUGUGUCAGGAUGUUCCCUGCACAGCACCCUCCGCGUGCCCAGGGAACAGCAYGAGAAACAGGGCAGACACGGAGUUAGUCCAGUCCUUCCUCGAACCUCGCAGUGUUCUGGCCCCUGUAACAACUUCAGCAAUGUUCAAGCGGCUGCUGAGGGGCUGAGGACUCCCACCCGGCUGUGCGGGUUGGCCCUUCCUCAGGGUCUGCCCGUCGGGAUCUCCGAGCGUGCCGAGGGCUUGCCCUGGGAGAAACAGCAAGUUGCUGCUCCCUUCGCCCACAUCAGCGACUCUGACGAACGUCUCAGGCUGUGCUUUUCUCUUUUUGGACCGGUGAGAUACAAGCCCGCUCUGAGGAGGAGGAGGAGGUCAGCUCAUUUGAGCGAAUGUCCUCCUCUGGGCUCUGCUCCCACCCCGGAACGGACCUCGCAUCCUCGCCCCAGCCCCAAAUGGAAAGCAGACUCGCAGGAGGCGCCGGGCCGGUCCCGGGCCGGCUGGCUGCUCCCACGCUUGCCGGCGUGCCAGCCCCAGGCUGCACGGGAGGCAGCAGGCUGCCGAGGCCAGCUGGGCACGGGCGGCAGGGAGCUCUGCCUGCUACGCUCGCUCCUGCCUCGGAGGUCUCUGCGAGCAGCACGGCAGGCGCAGAGCCUUUCCCACCAACAGGCC